rnacentral:sRNA from 1 species
UACUAAAACGAUAAUUGCAGCGAUUGAUGAUAUGUCGAUAAUUCCAAUAGGUGG